GGGGUCAUUGUUGAAAAAUGUGGAAUUUCUAAGUUCCCUGGGCAGUGUGGCCUUGGUUCUAAUCAUUCUCUUUGGGCUUAUUUACUACAAGUAUCAGAUAAAGAGUUCACCUCCCAGAAUGAUUCACCAAAUCAGCGAUGAAGAGUAUGAAGAAACAAGGGUGGACGUUAACUCUUCUGAGAAUUACUGGGUAUUUCAAUCCAACUCGUUAUAUUCUAACCUUUCAUCGCUGGGAAUAGGUCAGGGCCUCGCUCAGCCUGGAAGAUCCACCGACAGAAGCCCUGAUUGUCCUCCACUCAGGCCCAGUUGAUGGAGGCAGAAAUAAACUGGGAAAAACUGGGGACACAUGAAGAGCUUUUCGAAAGAGGUCCAAAGAUCAGUUCAGCAUAUCGUAUGCAUGUUUAUCACAAACCAAUGGUUUUGUUAACACCCCAUCCAAGCGAUGACCCAGAACGUUACAUGCGCACAUGAGUUGCUUAUUUUUCUACAUGCAUUUGGCUGAAACCAUGGUCAGAUUUUAAUGUUGGUGCUAAAAUGUUAAGUUCUUGUCCUAUGAGGAUCAAAAAUACUUAAUAUAUAAAUUAUACCGUUUUUAUGGUUUACAAUAAGCUUUAUUAGAUCUCUGAUUGACUAUGAUCAGGGUUGUUAGUGGUGCUUGGGUACAGAAUCUCUUCUGUGCCCCCUGCCCAUAACUAAAACAAGUGCACAGAACCGGCUUUAACCCCCAUUCACUCUAACACCAUACAUUUACACACACACAC